GUCCUGACGUAAAGGCUUUACGACACUGAACACGUUUACGACACUGUCAUGGCGGCGCACGGUGUUAGUUUUGAGAGCACCACGAACAUCGCAAAUCGUAAGGAAAGCAAACGACAGGCACGACAAGAAGCGCUCGAAAAGGCCAAGCAUCAGUAUGAGAAGGAGGAGAGGAGGAAGGAGCUGAAGAGACAGAGAGGAGAAGACACUUGGAUGCUUCCUGAGGUCACAGACAGACUGAAAGAAAUAGAAGACGAGGCCUGUGUGAAAAGCAAAAAGAAGAAAGAAAAGAAAUCUAAAAAGAAGAAGGAGAAGAAGAAGAAGGCCAAGAAGGAGAAAAAGGCAACAGAUGCAGCUGAUGGCUCAAGUGACAGCUCAGAUGACUCAGCUGAGGAGUGGGUUGAAGCUCAGCCUCAGUCACAGACUCCAAAAGCCUGGAAAGUUCUGGAGAAGUCCAAGCCUCCAGAGACAUAUGCCGACUCGACUCAGAGUGUACAGAGAGAUGAAUGGAUGACCUUUGACUUUUUGGCCAUGAAAACCACAUCCACAGCAGAGAGGAGAGCUGAGAAAGACAGACUCAAAGAGGAGGAGCGGGCAAAGGCUCAAGCCAUUGAACAGGCAGGUCUGCACAAAUUAGAGCUGAACCCUUACUGGAAAGAUGGAGGAACUGGUCUGCCCCCAGAGGAGAGAGCUGGUACUGUUACAAAGAAAGAAGGUCCAGUAGUGAAUGAUGGUGGCUUGAGCUGGCUGAGGAAGAGCUACCAGAGGAUGAAGGAGCAGGCAGAGAGAGAGCAACGCAGCCUGGAUGAGGUGGUGGCAGACAGAUAUGGAUCAAUGGAGGAAUUUCAGCAGCGACUUGCAGAGGCAGAAAAGGCUGUAUAUGGGCAAAGAAGCAGAGGAGAAGGGGGCAGUAUGGCGAGAGGCAGGUGGCUGGAGGGAAAGGAGGAGCGCAGAGAGACUUGGAGGAGAAAAAUCACAGAGAGAGAUCAAGGGAGAAGAAGUGAAAGAGAGGCAUCACCCUCAGCACGGGACAGAUAUUCAGAGAGAGGAAGAUAUCGAGAAGGAGAGCGAGAUAAACCAAGACAGAAAGAUAGUGAAAGAAACUCAAAUAAGGACAGGGACCGAGACAGACAAAGGGACAGAGAGAAUCAACGGGAUGAAGAAAGAGAGAGAAGCAGAGAUCGGGAGAGGUCCAGUGUUGCAUCAUCAGCAGAACAAAAUUGGUGUCAACGUUCCUCGUCGCUUGGGUCUCUGAAAGGCCGCUUUCUUAAGCCGUCAGAUGAUGAUGACAGCAGCGCUCCAGAGCACCCUCCUCCAGCAUCUCGGUCAUCGUCUAUGAGAUUCUUGAAACCCAGCUCAGACGACGACUCUGGUCCACAGACCACAAUUUCACCGACCAUGAACAAGUGUGGUAGUCCGGGCCAUCAACCCGAUUCUUUGGAACAAGAAGCAGAGCGAGGCGCUGCAAAGCUAAUGGCCGCUCCAUGUGAUGGCAAAGCCACAAAAUCAAGUGAGAGCGACAGUCAAGAAGAAGAAGAAGAAGAAGAAGAGGUAGUUCCAAUCCUCACUGAGGAUGAGAUGAACAAACUGGGUGCCAAGUUGGUGAAGGCCGAGAUUAUGGGUAACACAGCCAUGGUUGAGAAGCUGAAAUUCCAGUUGGAGGCUGCUCGUAAAGCCAAAGAGAACCACGCUGCACGAAUGAAGCUCCACCAAACGGCUAAAUCAAACCUGAUGGCUGGCAGAUCGAGCGAGGACCGGGAGGUUGUGCUGUUCAGAACAGACCAGUCCGGUCAGGCCUGGCCAGUCAAGCCCCUGUCUGGACCACAGGAGCCCCACGGAGGACGACGGAAAAAGAAGCCGAUUGAGACUCAUGUUGAUGGGCAGCGUGUGCGCUACUUUCAGGAUGACGACAGUGUGGGUCUGAAGGAGAUGGUCAGGAGGGAGAAGAUGAGCUCCGCACAGGAUCAGAAUGCCCUCUACUCUCGAAUGGCUGCCAAGAUGAUGGGAAAGACAGAUGGCGACAACUACACCCUGGACGAUAUGUUUGUGUCAAGUGCAGCAAAGAGGGAAGGCGAAGGGAGAGAAGAGGAAAGGAUGAGGAACAGAGCUGCAGAGGAGAGCAGGAGACUGACGACCACCAUGGAGAAAUGCCGUCACUGUUUCAACAGCCAGGAGCUCCAGAAGCACCUCAUAAUAGCCAUAGGGAGCAAGGUGUACCUGAGUCUCCCUGCAGGUGUGUCCAUGACGGAGGGCCAUUGUCUCAUCUGUCCUCUCCAGCAUCACUGUGCUGCCACCAGUUUGGAUGAAGAUGUCUGGUCGGAAAUGCAGGUGUUCCGACGCAACUUGGUGCGUAUGUUCGAGUCCCAGGACUUGGACUGUGUGUUCAUGGAAGCGCACCUGAACCCACGCAGGAGACAGCACAUGGUCCUGGAGUGUAUCCCACUACCUCGGGAACUGGGGGAUAUGGCACCUAUAUAUUUUAAGAAAGCUAUCAUGGAGUGUGAUGAGGAAUGGGCCAUGAACAAGAAGGUCGUCGACCUCUCUUCAAAGGACAUCCGCAAAGCUGUUCCCCGAGGGCUGCCCUACUUUGCCGUAGACUUUGGACUCCAGGGAGGGUUUGCUCAUGUAAUUGAAAAUGAACAGAAGUUCCCACAUUACUUCGGCAAGGAAGUUGUUGGAGGUAUGAUGGACUUAGAGCCAAGGCGUUGGAGGAAGAUGAUACGUGAGAAUUUUGAUGAUCAGAGGAAAAAAGUCCUGCAGUUUGCACAGUGGUGGAAACCGUACGACUGUACCAAGAGCGGGGCUUAGCGGGACACUCAAGAAGACCAUAUUGGUAGAUGAUGUGCAUGCAAUGUUGCAUCUUUUCUCUCAUCUGAAAUCACGAUCAACUGAUGAAAUGCCAAUUUCUUAUCAACAGGACACACAAAUAAGGGCCAUGUACACAAAUGACUUUUUCACAGGAUCUCAUGGCAAUUUUGUCAGUUAAUAGCAUGAGAAUCUUGAUGACAAAAUAUUGUCCUUAUUCCAGAUAUGACUAUCUGAAGGUGUAUCGUUUUCAUGUUUUCCUCAAAAUGUUCCCACUUUUAUUAACAUUGCAAACGAGGGAUUUUGCCAGUUUCAGUGUAUUUCUUAGUGAACGCAUACAUGUUAUUGAUAGGACAACUACAGCUGCACAUUAUUAUUAAUGUCUACUGCCUGCAUCCAUCCAUCCUUUUUCUAUGCCGCUUCUCCUCAUUAAGGUCACGGGGGUAUGCUGGAGCCUAUCUCAGGGGACUUCGGGCGACAGGCGCGGUACACCCUGGACUGGUCGGCAGCCAAUCGCUGGGCACAUUCAUACCUAUGGACAAUUUGGAGUCGCCAAUUAAGCUAACAUGCAUGUUUUUGGAAUGUGGGAGGAAACCGGAGUCCCCGGAGAAAACACAUGCACGCACUGGGAGAACAUGCAAACUCCACACAGAGAUGCCCAACGGAGAUUCGAACCCAUCCCGAUCUCCUGACUGUGACUAUGUGACCAACAUGCUAACCACUAGACCACCGUACCGCCUGCAUAUGCCUGAAUUUUGUGCAUUAUUAGUGAAACUGAGGAAAAUAUUGAGGAGAGAAAAAAACAAAAAGUGAAGAGGAAUCCACACCGUCCAGUGGCAGCAGCUCAGUGUCCUCCCCCUUCUUUUGAAGAGAAACAUAUGCAGCUAAGAUGCGUUCCAGCAUCUUCCAUCUGACAGCAGGUAGGUAUAUUGUCCUUUUCUUUCCAUCACUUUGAGUGGCCUGGAAAACUUGCACUGUGUUUUAGAAAGAAUGCCAGGUUUCUUCACCCGAGUCUAUGAUCCACAUUUGAAGAACACAGCUGCAGCUCUUUGCGUUUGGUCUGUGGAAUGGGCUUUACACACGGGGGGCAACAAACGACCGCGAUUGGCUAAACUCACCGCCAACGUGUAGAAAACCCUACAUAUGGAAGGCGACGAACAACUGUGGCCAGUGUCCUGGCAUUCAGAGUGAAUUACAAGUCUCUCAUGGCUUGAUUGGCUGUCUGAUUUGGAGGGAAUUUUGGGAAUCAAAGUAGUUCAGAGGACAAAAAGCGGCUAGUGUUGAUCGAGUACUCUCUCUAGUAGCAGACGUUGCUAGGAUCGAAGAUAAACGUACAUAAAUGUCCAUGUAAACUUGCCUGAUAUGUUUACUCUGGUGCCAACAAGUUCCCAUGCCCCUGCUUUUUUGUUCCUAUUCUUGACUAAAUUCUUUUUUAGAAAUGUAAAAUAGAAAUCUGACAUGCCAAGUGUUAUUUUUUCCUCCAUGUCUACCUGCAAGAGCGUACUGAGUAGCAUCUGCUCAUUGGCCAGUCAAUGAAACUCUCGUUGAUUGGUCCUCGCCUGGGUGACAGUGAUGAAAAUGUUCAACAUUUUGGGGAACGCGUUGCAAGCCAGCGUGUGCACGAUGACAUGCAUGAGCACAAAACUUAACAUGCACAAAUUUCGCGUGUCGCUUGGCAGGACGGAGACUCUCGAUAAUUGCCAGGUCACAAAGGGUUCCAUUGAAAAUGAGUAGAGGCCAUGUCUCCUCCCGUCUGUAGAGCCCAUAAGCCUUGCUCUUGCUCUGCUUUUCUCACUCUGGGAACAACUUGUAUUGAUGACUGUGUCUUGUACGCAGGAAGUGGAUGUCCAGCUACAUGGAAUUUGGUGCGUAUGGGUCGACCAUGCAACGGUACAGCUGGAGCGCACUGUAUCGUGGCGUGGAGUGUUGCCUGGUAGACGUGCAGAAAUUCCUUUAUGAACUCUUUCCAUGGCUUCCCUUCCAGCGUGGCUGUUUUUAAACAUUCUUUCAAGCUCCUACUGGAACGUUCAAUCUCUGUUUACUCUUGGGUACUAUACGGAUGACUUUGUGUGCACAAUACCUCUGGCAUGGAGAAAUGUUUCAAACUCAUGUGACCGGAAUUGAGAGCGGUUGCCUGUUGUGCCUCUUGCUACAGAAAUGGAAUAGCAGUCCUUGCAGUGACAUGUGGAACAAAUGUUAAUUCAGGCAAGUUUCUGUGGUCAUCAAUAAGCGUUAUUGCAAAACGGCAGUCUAUUAGUGCUUUGUCAGAGGCUCAAACCACAUCUACCUCACAUAGCUACCUUUUCCCAUGAUUCUUUGGGGUACGGUGCAGGUUGUAGUAGAGUGGUGUGGGUGACUGUGGACUUGUCAUGUGAUGGAUGAUUUUAUGGCUGCCUCGACGUGGGCGUCCAUGCCUGACCACAAAUACGCCUCUCUUAGUCGUUGCUUUGUUCUUACAAUUCUUUGGUGUGUGUCAUGUGCCAAGGAAAUCACUUUUGGUUGAAGACUUUCUGGCACCCUGAGUCUAUGCGUGCCGUGUUACCACUAGGUCGUCUUGUAGUGAGAGCGCAUGUUGAAGUCUGAAAAUUGCUGUGAACUUGGCAACAGGCUCUUUGCUGAUUUCAGCCAUCUUAAAGUGAGUUCACGAGGUUUCGUCUGUACAGGACAUGAAGCACAUGCAGCUUUAAAGUCAUUGUCAGUGGUAGCAUUAAGAGCUGAAGUGUGUGCCACCUCUGUGUCAUCCUUCAAGUCGAGACAAGCAGCCUGCAGUUACAUUCUCUUGACCUGGCUUGAACCGGAUGUCGCUGUUGAAUGAGUCUUGACGAGCACCUGGCUAUAUUCUCAUACCUGCUCGUCUUUGGUCUUCUAAAGAAGUGUGGUGAGGGGACUGUGAUCAGUGCACAGUAUGGAACAUCUCCCUCACAAGUAAGUUUCAUGUACCUGUGUUAGAACAGCUCUUAGUCCAUAAUCAGAAGCACCUGUGAUGACAUCAGUAGGCAGUGCCGGAUUGAACAGUGAAAGUGCAGGGCUGAUCACUACGAGUCGUUUAACAGUCUUGAAGCUCUUCUGUGCCUCCGGUGUCCAUGUGAAUGUAUCCGCUCCGUGCAGAAGUUUUCUCUGGCUCAACAACAGCGUAAUCUGGUAUGAGUACUAUGAUGUGAGUCCUAGGAAUGACCUCAGUUUGAGUAUGUCUGUAGGCGGAGGUGCUUGAGAUACAGCUGUCACCUGUUCCUUUUAUGACACUGUGUGUCCAUUGAAAGUUAUUUUUGUCAAAAGUUGUAUUUGGAGCGAUUCAGCUCGAGCCCAGCAUCCUGUAUACGCCGAAGCACAGCUGUCAGUCUUUUCUCGUGUUCCUCGGUUGUUCCACCUAAGAUGAUGAUGUUGUCACGGUAACACUGGACACCUUUUAGACUUGGAGGAUGACUGACAUCAUCGCUGGAAACAGCUGGGCACGGAUGACUGUCCAAAUAGCACUCUCUUGAAGCGGAACAAGCCAUCGUGUGAUGAAUGUAGGUAAGCUACAGCUAUAUUUGUGUAACUGCAUCUGAUAAUAUGCGCUCUGGAGGUCUAACGUGAGAAAAAAAAACUAUACUCCCAUCAAAUCUGGUAACAUUUCCUCCGGAAAGCUAACUACAACUGACUUGUUAGGUUCAAUCAAGUCUACACAAAUCCUAGGUUCAGGGAUAUCUUUUCUUGUGGUGACUACAAUGGCUGAAAUCCACUCUGAUGACUUGACCAUGCAGCUCUAUUAGGUCUUGGUCCACAAGUCUUUGCAGCUCAUUAGACAGUGCUUCUUUAACUGAGAAAGGUAAUCUACAUCGUUUUUUUUUUGUACUGGCUUAAAAUCUGGGCGUACUUUAACUCUUUGCACAAAUCCCUUUGCACAUCCUAAUUUUUCUGUUGCUACUCUUGCUACAGAAUCGCUGUACAGGGUCACUGGUCUUUGGAAUAACUUGACUCCAAGUUAAACUUGCAUUUUAAGCAAGAAGAAUAAGUCAAUGCCUCGGACUGCUGACCCGUUUUUUUUACAACGUACAGAAGUGCAAUAGUAUUUACGUCUGCAAAUGGUGUAUAAUUCCCACCAUACUCUUUUAGCUUGAGUUCUGGUUCUAUAAAGGGAGCUUCAGGGAAUAGCUUAGUGACAAUUGACUAUGGACAUGUACUACGGACACUGCUGACCCCGUGUCUAGUAUUAGGUCAAUAUCGUGAACUUCUGACCCUGUUGUACUGAUUUUAACUGUACCCUUUAUGCUGUCAGAGCAACUAGUGUUCACAUUCAGAAUAGUCACUUCUGGGACAGCUACAAUCUCCCUCAUGUCUUUGCUUCCCUUACAGACUUUAGCAAAAUGUAUUUUAUUUUAGCAGCUAUUGCAGAGUGGUUCUUAUGCAGGACAUCCUUGGAAUGUAGCAGUGUGUUAAGUUGAGCCACAUCUGUAACAUGUCUUCCUUUAUGUCGUCUGUGAUGGCAAUUGCGGUUUAUGCCCUUUACGGCUCUUGAACCUCUCGUGUUGUUGGUGUUCAUCCUGGUAAACAAUGUGCACAUCGCUGUCUGGCCCUCCCUUACACAAAGCUUUAGCCACCGACAACGCAGUUUCAAUUUGGCGCUCUAUUGACAAAGUCUUGGUGAGAGUGAGGGGUAUUUCCAGCAGCAAAGGCUCCCUGAUGCGUGUUGAAUUAGUCUUUUGAACUACUUGAUCCUUUAUCAUCUCCUCUUCCAUAUUUCCAAACUGACACAUCGUAACUCGCGCUUUCAAUGCAGCAACAAAUUGGUCAAGAGCCUCCAGCGUUGUGUCGUACUUGUCAUCAGCGACCGUCAAUGUGUCGUAAAGACUCUGACCUUCUGCACCCAAGCGGUGGAUGAGUAGUGUGCACUUUUGUCCAUCUGGUUGUCGGACAUUGUAAGCAAAUAAUUUUCAGAAGUUCACAGCCAUGCCUUGAACGGUACUGGUGUGGCCAGUAUGUGGUAUUCUCCAGAAGCAGUCGUAAUUCAUUUUGCACCCUUUAUGUCCCUUUAUGUAAGUAAGUAGAAGUAGAGGCCACAUUCAACUUCUACUCUCAUUUCUUCUUUGUCUCCUAUAUCUACUACGUCACUUUAGUGCUUGUACAUAUUGCCACCUAGUGUCCAAACUGAAACCACACGUUACCCUGUACUGUAUCAUUUCGCGUUAUCGAGUUCCAAAACAAAGCACACUAUGUGUUGGUGACUCACUGUCCGUGCAUUUUUUAUUUUUUUUAUUGAGUGUGAUUGCUACAUAACCCGCCAAAGACAGCAAGUGCCAGCAAUUUCAUACCAAAGGCGAGAAACACUAUUGAAUUCAAGAGGGUACUCUUUACACAGGAUGAAGAUGACAUCCCCUGCCUUCCUUGCGUCUCCGUUCCUCACCGUCUUUGCCAACAAGAGUUUUCAAUAAGGGUAAAAAUUAUGUUAAAUGUUCAUUUGUCAAUUUAGUUCCUUAUUUAUAAUGAUUUUUGCUUGUUCAUAUUCUCGGGUGUCUGGAACAAAUUAAUUGGUUUACAUCAUUUCCUAUGGGGAAAAUUGUUUGGGUCUUUGUACGUUUCGGUUUUCGUCAGACCUUUUGGAACAAAAUAAAGAAAACUGUGAGACCACUGUAUUUCACCCACUGGGGACACCAACUACCGUAGUGUAAUGCAUUCUCAGAUUCUUAUAGGGGCCGCGAUCCUUCCAUGCAUAAUAUUAUUAAAAUCUAAUGUCAUCCAUGUCAGAUGUUCGUAGUGAAUGAGACUACAAUGCCCAGAGGUGCCCUUCCUCUCUAAUUCCAUGAUAGCACAGUUACUGAGCUAUUGCCCUGUCUGCACACGGCUAUAAAUGGCCGACUGCCAGCUCAAGGCAGCUAGUAGGCUUAUCUUCUGUGGAACAUUAUUUAUUCCAUUGUAGUGUUGGCUUUAUUAAAUGCCCAUGUUAUUACUGAUGGAUGGUGGCUUGAUUGCAAAGAGCAAGCGACCAGAUAAGGAAAGAGAAAAGACUGUGUGGGUGUGUGUUGGAGCGAGAAAGAGAGAGAGAGAGGAGGCGACAUAGUAUGCAAUGUGUUGAGUUCAUGCCGCUCCAGAAAGUCAAAUGAAUUAGUACCUCCAGGAAAUUACAGCGAGUUGUGUUUGUGUGUGUGUGUGUGUGUGUGUGUGUGUGUGUGUGUGUGUGUGUGUGUGUGUGUGUGUGUGUGUGUGUGUGUGUGUGUGUGUGUGUGUGUGUGUGUGUGUGUGUGUGUGUGUGUGUGUGUGUGUGUGUGUGUGUGUGUGUGUGCAUGAUGCGUCACGUCUCGUUCCAGCUCCUCUGCGCCUGCUCAUCCCUUUGGGGCUCGUAAUGAACAGACAUGCUCUGCCAGUCGAGGUCAAGGUCAUGGUUGUGAUUAGUGCCAAACAUGAGCAUCAUCCUGUUCUCUGAUGGGAGGCAAACAAGCGUGCAUGAUGACUGCCAGCUUAUCUGUUAUCUGCCCGUAGAGCCAUAUUAGCCCUUGCACACCCAUGUUGAAUACAUCAGCUGGGAUUAAGUCACCAGAAUCAUCCACAUUCCGUCAUUAUUUAUGGACAUGUUUGUUGGUAAACUGAAGGCUAUUACUUGAUGUAAUUUUGGCCAACUCGUUCUGGGUCUUAUGGGUUCGUAUGUUCCCAAAUGCCUAUCGAAUAUCCAAGCAAGAAUCAAACCACCUACAGUAGUAGAUGCAUAUUUGGAAAAACACAUCCAACUUUUCCCAUCCACCCAUCUUCUUUUGCUUAUUCAAGGUCGGGCGGCAGAGGCAGCAGCCUAAGCAGAGAAGCCCAGCUUCUUCGUCCAGCUCCUCCCGGUGGAAGCGUUCCCAGCCAGAUCGCUUCUCUGGAACGGCCGCAGCCCCGCCGACAGGCCGGCUUGUCCGGCGGGCGAGGAAAAGCCAGGAGCCGGCGUGCCCCACAAAAGGGUGACCAGAAGGAGGAGGGUGAACUUGGAUUCGCUUGGAGAAAGCC